rnacentral:rRNA from 1 species
CCUACGGGUGGCAGCAGUGGGGAAUAUUGGGCAAUGGGCGCAAGCCUGACCCAGCAACGCCGCGUGAAGGAAGAAGGCUUUCGGGUUGUAAACUUCUUUUCUGAGGGACGAAGAAAGUGACGGUACCUCAGGAAUAAGCCACGGCUAACUACGUGCCAGAAGCCUCGGUAAUACGUAGGUGGCAAGGUUUAUCCGGAUUUAUUGGGUGUAAGGGGCGUGUAGGCGGGAAAGCAAGUCAGAGGUGAAAACUCAGGGCUCAACCCUGAGCCUGCAUUUGAAACUGUUUUUCUUGAGUGCUGGAGAGGCAAUCGGAAGUCCGUGUGUAGCGGUGAAAUGCGUAGAUAUACGGAGGAACACCAGUGGCGAAGGCGGAUUGCUGGACAGUAACUGACGCUGAGGCGCGAAAGCGUGGGGAGCAAACAGGAUUAGAUACCCGUGUAGUC